rnacentral:misc_RNA from 1 species
AACCCUCAAACCCAAGUUUUGGAUUUCGGUCCAUGCUUGAGUUUGGAUUUGGACGUUUGCCGGUGAUGAACCGACUCGUCUUAAAAGUAUUAGCUGGAUCUGUCUAUAUGACUGGUUUGACUUGGCAUAAUAAGUAUUUUGCUGAGGACAUCUUCGGAUGGCCAGGACCUAGACUAUUGUCUGCUAACUAAACCAUCACUUUAAGUGCAUCUUUGGAUGUUACUAAUUGUGUAACUUUGAC